GGGGGCAUAGCUCAGCUGGGAGAGCACCUGCUUUGCAAGCAGGGGUCGUCAGUUCGAUCCGUCUGCCUCCACCA
rnacentral:tRNA from 1 species